rnacentral:lncRNA from 1 species
AGUAAGCAGCAGCUAGUUGCCGACAAGGCCAGAGAAGGAAGAAGAAGCUCUCAUCAUCAUCACCAUGUCGUGCUGCGGUGGCAACUGCGGAUGCGGCUCCAGCUGCCAGUGCGGCAACGGCUGCGGCGGGUACGUAUAUUACAUGCAGAUCGAUCGAUCGAUGCAAUUCAAACUUGACGAUCGAUAUAUGCAGAUGCAAGUACUCUGAGGUGGAACCCACGACCACGACCACCUUCCUUGCCGAUGCAACCAACAAGGGGUAUGUACGUAUACCCAUGCUUGAUUAAUUAUACAUACUCCGAUCGAUAGAUUUUAUAUAAGUAUGAACACUAUAUAUCCAUUACAUGGGCAAUGCAUGAUCGAUUGCAGGUCUGGUGCUGCUUCCGGAGGAUCAGAGAUGGGGGCGGAGAACGGCAGCUGCGGCUGCAACACCUGCAAGUGCGGCACCAGCUGCGGCUGCUCCUGCUGCAACUGCAACUAGAAGAAACUUAUCUCCAUCCAAUUCAUCACCUGAUCAACGAGCUACCAGUACCACUACAUAUGCCAUGUACUAGCUACCUAGCUUGCAUGCAAGUCCUUAAUUUGCUGCUAGCUAGCUAGCUACCUACCUUAGCGUCUCAUGUAUGUCAUGUUGCCGCCUGGCCCCUAAAUAAAAUUCCUUACUUAAUCGCAAAAUCUUAUUUAUAUACAUUUUCUUUGUCUUAACUAUAUACUAUACUCCUGCUGCAUGCAAGCAGAGGCUAUAUAUGAUCG